GAUGAACGCUGGCGGCGUGCCUAAUACAUGCAAGUCGAGCGAACAGAUAAGGAGCUUGCUCCUUUGACGUUAGCGGCGGACGGGUGAGUAACACGUGGGUAACCUACCUAUAAGACUGGGAUAACUUCGGGAAACCGGAGCUAAUACCGGAUAACAUUUGGAACCGCAUGGUUCUAAAGUGAAAGAUGGUUUUGCUAUCACUUAUAGAUGGACCCGCGCCGUAUUAGCUAGUUGGUAAGGUAACGGCUUACCAAGGCGACGAUACGUAGCCGACCUGAGAGGGGGAUCGGCCACACUGGAACUGAGACACGGUCCAGGCUCCUACGGGAGGCAGCAGUAGGGAAUCUUACGCAAUGGGCGAAAGCCUGACGGAGCAGCGCCGCGUGAGUGAUGAAGGGUUUCGGCUCGUAAAACUCUGUUAUUAGGGAAGAACAAAUGUGUAAGUAACUGUGCACGUCUUGACGGUACCUAAUCAGAAAGCCACGGCUAACUACGUG
rnacentral:rRNA from 1 species